rnacentral:tRNA from 2 species
GGCCCGUUGGUCAAGCGGUUAAGACACCGCCCUUUCACGGCGGUAUCAGGGGUUCGAGUCCCCUACGGGUCACCA